UACGUAGGGCGCAAGCGUUAUCCGGAAUUAUUGGGCGUAAAGAGCUCGUAGGCGGUUUGUCGCGUCUGCCGUGAAAGUCCGGGGCUUAACCCCGGUUCUGCUUCCGGUACGGGCAUGCUGGAGUGUGGCAGGGGAGACUGGAAUUCCUGGUGUAGCGGUGGAAUGCGCAGAUAUCAGGAGGAACACCGGUGGCGAAGGCGGGUCUCUGGGCCAUUACUGACGCUGAGGAGCGAAAGCGUGGGGAGCGAACAGG
rnacentral:rRNA from 1 species